rnacentral:rRNA from 1 species
AUUGAACGCUGGCGGCAUGCUUUACACAUGCAAGUCGAACGGUAACAGGUUAAGCUGACGAGUGGCGAACGGGUGAGUAAUGCAUCGGAACGUGCCCGGUCGUGGGGGAUAACGCAGCGAAAGCUGCGCUAAUACCGCAUACGAUCUGAGGAUGAAAGCGGGGGACCGUAAGGCCUCGCGCGAUCGGAGCGGCCGAUGUCAGAUUAGGUAGUUGGUGGGGUAAAGGCUCACCAAGCCAACGAUCUGUAGCUGGUCUGAGAGGACGACCAGCCACACUGGGACUGAGACACGGCCCAGACUCCUACGGGAGGCAGCAGUGGGGAAUUUUGGACAAUGGGCGAAAGCCUGAUGGAGCGACGCCGCGUGAGGGAUGAAGCCCUUUGGGGUGUAAACCUCUCUUUUGGAGGAUGAUACGCACCGUUUGGUGCUAAGACAGUACUCCAAGAAUAAGCAUCGGCUAACUACGUGCCAGCAGCCGCAGUAA